rnacentral:rRNA from 1 species
UACGUAGGUGGCAAGCGUUAUCCGGAAUUACUGGCCGUAAAGCGCACGCAGGUGGUUGGUUAAGACUGACGUGAAAGCUCCUGGCUUAACUGGGAGAGGUCGUUGGUGACUGGCCGACUGGAGGGAAGGUGAGGGAUGCAGAAUUCCCGGUGUAGGGGUGGAAUGCGUAGAUAUCGGGGGGAAUACAAGAGGCGAAAGCGGCAUCCUGGCCUUGGCCUGACACUCAGGUGCGAAAGCGUGGGCAGCAAACGGG